GGCGUGAAACUUCCUUGUACCAGCCCUGCCCCAGAGUGCCUGCUAAGGAAGAGCUGUGAUUCUGGCCUGGAGACUAUCUCUUGCCUAUGGCCAAUCUGAGAAAGGAACAUCAGUUCCUUCCUCCUUGUCCCGUCUCCUGUGUUUUCCCAUCUGGGCAUGUCUGUGGACAGGGAAAAGAAAUUCACAAAAUGGGUAGCUUUGUAAGUAGCUGCAAACAUGCUGGUUGUGUCACCUCUUCCAUUCCUCUGUUCCCAGGAAGGAGAAAGAAAGUGGGUUUGUAAGUUGUCAUGUUGUUUGCCUGCCUAUGGCCCGAUCUCCAGCAGAGUGCUACAUCCCCAUCCUCCCUGCCUCCUGGGGCCUGGGGCCCAGCCAGGGCACCCAUCCCUGCUCCAGGGUCCAUCUCUCAGCAGGACUCUGUGCCCAGGACUCACUUUUCAGCAGGGUUCCACGCACUAGGUGCAUGGUGGCUACUGAGCCUUCUCAAAUCUCUGGCCCUUCAUUGCCAUAGUGGGAGCUGCCCGGGCACUGAGCCCAUUGCAAACGUCUUUCAUCAGAGGCUUUCACAACCCCUGCAAACCUUUGCCAGGGAGCUCAGGCCCAGGUCAGGGUUACAGAUGGGGACACCGAGGCACAGGCUGGGGAAGUGGCCAGGCAUGUCAGUGACUGUCAGAGACAGGACAAAAGCCAGGACAGUCCCAGCCCAUGUCCCACUCCCUAGAGCACCCUGCACUUGCUGGGAUUAUGGAGCUGCAGCAUUUCUCUGCAGGCAGCAUGUGCACUGCUCUGGACCUGGACACUGCACAGGCCGGCUCAGUUUCCUUGUUGAUGAAGGAAGAUAACUUGCCCGCCAAGUACUCUGGUGUUUACAGGAGCCCUCUUCGGCACUUGUAACCACAGAAACACAGCCAGGGAUGUGACCCAAGUCUGGCAAACUCCUUCCUUCAGCAGCUGGGGUUAUUUCUGGGAGGCUUGGGAGGGGCCAGACCUGAUUGGCUAGGAGCUGUAAUAAAUGCCUGGGCAGCGGCACCUGCUCUAGGUGCUGGGGCUUGUUGACAGACAGUGCAGGGACAGUGGCACUGCAGCAGACUGCAGCCCUUUCCUCCAGGGCUUUGGGAAGCACCUGGAACAGCUGGUUAGCGUGACAGUCCAUUGGCUCCUUCUUCUGGGAAGCCUGAUGUGACCAUGAAGACCAAACUGACUAGUCAGGAUGACUUGGAGACUCCAGGGCCAUGCCAGGCUGAGGCAGGCUCCCACAGGCUUGGAAGCAUCUGCUCCGUGCUCCUAUCUAGAGUUAAGUGUCUACUUCAGCCCCACAAGCUAGGGGUGCGUUUGGCCAGUACUCAGCAGAGACGAGCCUGCCUGCAGCCCGACUCAUCCAAACCUGGCAGCUGCCCCUGGAAGAAGCUGCUGAUUGCCCUAGGAAUAAUGAUCACCAUUUCACUAAUGGUCCUGCUGCUCCUCUGGCAUUACAAGUGCAUUGUCAUUGACCGGUACUGUGAGGGGAACGGGGAGGUGCUGCCCCCCUUGUUCAAAAUUCUUCAGAGAAAGGAGACAUGAAACUUGGCUGUGGCCUGCUCCCAGCGAGACCACACCCCUGCCUUCCUGUCUGCAAGGACGCCGUGGACCUCUGCUGAGCAGUUCUGACCGGGCCUCUCCUGGGGACAGCAGCCUACCCAGGAACGUGGCUCCUGAGCUAACGGACCUGUUUGCCUGGACAAAUUCCGCACGCUUGCUUUGGCAGGCUCUUGUUCUAGUUCCUGUGUAACCUCCUCCCACCCAUGUACUUGCUUUCCGAGAGCCUGGUGACUGUAGCGUGAAUAACCCAGCUCUGAAGUGAUGUAACAUUUUGAUUCAUACUAAAUUUCAUGACCCUU